rnacentral:lncRNA from 1 species
UAUCUGUAUUCUCGCUCUGGUGUCUCCACACUAUAGACUCAAGACUCAUCUACCCUAAGAAAGCGAUCGUACACCAACCUUCUGGAUCAAUCACCAUCCUCAUGAUGAUCCUAUGGUCAGGAGCAGUUUAUGAGUUAGUUAUGUAAAUUCAUGCCUUAAAUUUUCAACUCUUGAAAAUAUGAAUUAACAUUCCCACUAACUCAAAGGA